GAAAAUAGUACGGAUCUCGUGCUCCUCCGGCUCUGGAAAGCUUCAUUCUCUUCCGGUAGCGGCAGGAAAGGGGAGUGGAGAAAGGGGGAGAAGAGAGCAGCGCGCCGCUGAUUGCGAGAGAUCGAAACGAACGAACGAGCAGGGGGAUACGAGGCGGGGAGAGAGGGCGAGGAAGCCUCGGGGAAACACGGCGCACCGUGCAUUACACGCGUUUUCUCGGCCGAUCGAAUUAGCCUGCGCUACACACGCCCGCGACAGCCAACGACUCUCCGAUGUCUCCCUUGUUAUCGAGAGCAUAAUGAUCGUGCAUUGUUGUUGUUCUUUCGGCUCGACGGGAAACAGCAAAAAUAACAGGCUGAUUGGAAAAAACAAGCAAUCGAUAGAGUCGAGUCGAAUUAAUUGAUGCUGGCAGAUGCGUCGCCAGGCGCUUUUCGCAUUGGCGAGUGCACAGCAGCGAUCGUGGUAGUUUUUUCGGUUGAGCCGAGAGCGUUGGUACGAAUUCGCAUGAGGGGCAUUGAGAUUGCAGAGAACUGUAGAGAAAUGAAUUUUCCUAAUUUUUCUCCCGAGGCCCUGGGCGCUGGAAGUUUCUUCCCGAAUAAAUCGUGAAUUUGAUGGUCAA